UUGAUUGGCGUAAACGUAAUGGAUGCUGCCUAGUUAGUUAAUGCCAAUCGUUUUAAAAUCUGACAUCACCAUCGAUAUGAAGCUUUUUAAUGAAGGAAUCCAACUAAUUGCUUAUUUUCAUUGCUGUCUCUGUUAUAUUCCAGAAACAGAAUUUUCAGAUAUUUUUAGUUUUGAGCUGAUAAUUUCAUGAUUGGAAAAUAUUUAGUGGGUAAACAGCACCACCAUUGUCGGGAAUAGUUCUCGCGCUAUUUACCCAUUUGGAAAGAGUUUUUCGCACCAGCUUUAGAAAUACCGGACAGUUUCAGUCUUACACUCGUGCUGGGCUCUUAUCUUCUUACAAGUAACAAACUUACAAGCUGGAAAAACGGAAACUAAAACUUUGCACUCUCCAUUUGGGAUAUAAUCUUCAGAUUCUAAUAUUAAACUUUAAUGAAACCUACAGACAUUAUUUUUCGUACGUCAGGAGUACGCCAGUUGUUUUAAACCGGCUUCAUCUCCACUCAAGGUCCACAAGAUUUUUUGAAGUUUGCCUGCAAGUCAAUGGAUGGCGUCCUGGGACGUAUAGCCAGCCAGGAUUUUCGUCGGGACUCGAGAGUAACGUCAGUCCAGUCGACAUAAUUUGGGCUUUCUCUCGAGUCACGUCUGCGUCCUUAUGGGUUCUUGUAGCUGAUGACAGACAAGUCUUAAAUAUGGCGACUGAAGAGAGACGAGAAUCCCACCUUCAUUUACAGAAUUGAGAGAGGCAAGACGCAGCGAGUUCGCCUGGAAUCGUGAUUAUUGAGGACGAAGUCGAAGAUGGAAGAGUUUGACCGCCUUAUGAGACGCACCUGGUCUUGUUGUCAGGUCUACAAACCAUAGCCUUUCAUACAUGGUGAUCCUUAAGAUGGCUGACACCAAAAGCACUCUUGUCCAGUGACAAGGCCACAGCAGCAGUAAGAACUGCCUGCCACCCUUCACAACCCACAACCCAGAAGUCUGGUUCUUUAGAGCAGAGAAAAUCUUCAGGUUCAAGAUCUCCUUCACAUCCUGUCCUCGAGUUGCUGCCAGAUGACUCUUUGAACAAAUUGUGGGGAAUGGCUUGCCAACCAAAAGACAAUGGUCACCUACGAAACGCCAAAGGACCAACUAAAGUCAUCCUUCAGCAUGCUGCUUGUCCUCAAAGCAAAGAAGUUCCUAGACAACAUGGGGACAAUAGGAAACCAGUGACCAUCACACAUCUACGAGAAACUGCAGUGGCUGGUUGCAAUCCCAACCACAGAUGGCAGCCCAGAGACUAGUACAUUAGAUCUUACAAGAGAGGUCUUAAUCACAAAAUUACCCUACCAAAUAGUAGUGGCCAUUCCCAACGUAUCAACCAUGCCUCAUUGAGUUCCUGAAGAUGACCGAUGCUGUCCACCUGGCCCACGAGUCAACUGAGCCUACAGAAUCACCCGUAGCAGCAGCUGCCCCACAGCCACAGUAGCAGGAAGAUGCAGAGAUGGACAUCAAUCCAAAGGGCUCCAUUGUGACCCAAAACCAAACGUCGGCAGUAGGCAGACCAGUUGCCUUGUAAGAGAAACCACGCCUGCUUCCUGCUGUCUUCUUCUAGGUAGUGAAAGAAAUAAGGCUCCAUGUGUUUUUCAAUUAAAGAUGAAAGAUCAGAUACAACGUUCCUGGUUGAUGCUGGGGCAUGCAAGUUGUUCAUACCAGCCAAUCCGUACAAAUCCCCUCAAUUCCACCACCAGGACUACGGGUGGCCACUGCCAGCAGCAGAGCCCCACUGAAAAUAUAUGGUUAACAUACCACAAAUCUGUUGUUCAGUGGGAAGCAGUACAACUGGACGUUCACUACAGCCAACACAAGUCACACUCAGCGUUGCUGAAAUGCCGAAUUUCCCCCCGAUUUGCCGAGAAAAAACUCUACGGGCGGAGAACCAGACCUUCAAUGCCGAGAGGAGGUCGGUGUCCUCGUUCGUGUCGAGAAAAACUCUGCAUUCUUCGAGGAGAUUGAUUAAUCGUCUCAAAUAAAUUUAAAUACUUUUUUUUAUUUAGUUAAUGUCUUUUUAUGUAAGAUUAGGUAGAAAAUUAUUAUUACUACAUUAUUAUUACAAUAAGAGAUUCCACUUAAUACGCAUUGAAAACAUUCAACCUGGCAGUGACGGUAAGGAACGCUUUAUAAAUGUAAAACACAAAACCGAAUAGUAUUAGCAGUUAAAUACCCAUGAUAUGAUAUCAUAUCUUAAUAUUGUAUGUAUGAUUACAAACAAUUAUCUGUGCUAAUGAAAGUUUCUCUUUUGGCAUAGAACUAUAAUUUUGAGAUCACAUAUCCAUUGUGAUCUUAUAAAAUUUGCACCUCAAGAUUAGUAGACUGCACAACUGCUCGUUUCGCACAUCUGUUGCAACGAGCAUAGGGUAACACAGGGUCUUCCACAACCUCUUAUGAAUUCAAUUAUCUAAUUUAAUUCUGAUGGAAUGUGCAACAGCAAUAUUUUGUUUGUUAUGAGUCAGGUUUGGAGCAAUUGAAAUGAAAUUACACGUAGCCUAUUCAAGGUAAUAGUAUAUUUCUACUUUAUAGCAAUUGUAAUUCAAAGAGAAUGUAAUUCAAACUAAAAAAAAAUCAAACUGUAGAUAAAACUAGCAAGAUUGAAAUAGCUGUAACUUUUGUAAUUAUAAUGUUAUUGAAUUUAAUGAGUUAUAUGGUUGUAAAGUAAUUGUAAGCUAUUUGAUAUUGAUUCCAUUCAUAGAAUUGUAAUUGUAAUUUGAUGAUAAGACAUGUGAUUACAUUAUAACUGACAUGAACCAUGUAGUUACCAGUGGCGUUAUUACUAUUCCAUCACUGGUGAAUCCAGGAGCUAGGCUUCAUUAUGGGGUGGGGGGCUUCAAAGAAAUUAGCAUAAAACAGGAUAUAAAAUCUGGAAUUAGUAAAAUAUAUUCUCAAACAUAUUUUUACCCUGAUAUAUGAAGAAAAAUAAUAAAUUUGUUUUGGUUUAUUUAUAUAGCCUAUAUGUUCUAGAAAGUUGAUUUAUAAAACUGAGUAGGUUACGUAUCUACCUAUAUUUUGUGUGUGUAAUUUCUGUGUAUUAUAAAGUUUAUAUAUAAAACUUAAUAUGUGUAUAUCAUUGUUGUUUUGGUUGUAAUUGUGUAUAUACAUAGCUAAUAUAUACUUUUGUUAAAUGAUUAAAGGACAAUAAAAUAAAAAAAAAUAAUAUGCAUCAUGCCAGAUAACAAAUGUACUAAUGAUGAUGAAUAUAAAUCGAUGGGAGGUUGCAUAAGAUUGGUUUAUUUUCUUAAAGUACCCCUGGGCCAUAAAAUGAAUUCCAUUUUCUAUAAGAUGCCGAUUUUGGUAUGCAGAGCUCUCGGCAACGCUGAUCACACUUUUAGGAGCAGACUUCCUUAAACCCCGCAACACACUGGUGGACGUAGCAAAACAGCAUCUGAUCACACAACCUGCCCCUGUAUACCCAAUUCACUCUGACUCCAGCACCAGAGAUAAGUUGCCUCCUACAGGAGUUCCCCAAGGUAUUUAAAGGCAACCUGCAGCACAACCAGACUAAGGUUAACCUGCAAAGCACCACAGUCACCAAAGGUCCCCCAGUGCACACCAGUUUCAGAAGUUUGGCCCAAGAAAAAAUUGCCCAUGUCAAAUAACCCUUCCAAGACAUGAAAAUUGCCCAUGUCAAACAGCCUUUCCAAGACAUGGAAUGAGCAGGAAUGUGCCAAAAAGCCUCCAGCCCCUGGGUAUCUCCCCACCACAUGGUACCAAAAUCUGACAACAGCGACCCUGCAGCGACUACUGAAAACUCAACAUUUAGACAAGACCCAACAGGUACACACUGCCGAACACCCCCAACAUAACAAACCAGAUGGAGGGCACCAAAUUGUUUAUGAAGGUGACCUGCCGGAGGGAUACUUCAGUGCUUUGGCUUUCGGAACUCGGGUGUGACUUUCAAAUGUCUAAUGAAAGAAUCCUGGGCUACUUGCCCUUCUAUGUUAUCUUUGUCGAUAAUAUACUUAUAUUCAGCCCCAACAUCCAAUAACAUAUGAGAGAUGUCAGGAAGGUCCUACAAAUAUACUCAAAACAACACUUAAUAGUGUGAAAGGACAAAUGUGAAUGAGCAAAACCAUUACAAAACACUUAAUAGUGUGAAAGGACAAAUGUGAAUGAGCAAAACCAUAUGUUGUAGAAUUCCUGGGGCACCAAAUAAGCCUCCUGACAAAGGUCCAAGCAAUCAACAACCUCCCAAAGCCGACAACAAUCAAAGCAGUCCAUGGAUUCUAACUAUUACCACUUCAUUAACCUUACUGAAAUAAUGGCUCCAAUAUAUAUGAUUGCUUGAAAGUAAAACCUAAAAAUUUUUUAUGAAAAAUGAAAUAGGCUUCAGUAAGAAAAACAAAAUAAAGCCUUCAUUGCUGCCACAAUCAUUUUUCCUUUACCCCAUAGGUCCCACACCCUACGACAAACACUAGUAGCACAACAAUGGGUGAGAUACUCAAACGACGCACAACAAUCGUCACUCAUUGGCAAUCUUCAGCAAGAUCACCAGCAGAACAACACAUGCUAGAAGAACAACAAUGCAAGGUGCACACUGACCACCAACCGUUGGUACACAGCUUCACAAGUGGAGAAGGGUGGUCAGCAAGGCUACAGUCACCUAUCGUUGAUAGGCAAACACUCCUGCACCCUCAGAUACUUAAAGGGCUCUUCCAACCAACUAAGUGUCUGAUGCCCUUUCCUGAAACUCCGACACCAUCCAUAUCAGGAUAUCAUAUCCCAAAAUAGCGUAGGCUCAGAAGGAUGAUGUGGUACAGCAACUAAAACGCGAGAACCCUGCUCAUACGUGGAGUGACCUAUCCAUCAACAAUGGAGAGACAACCACUGCCUGCGAGUCAAGUACCAGACAACCUCACCCAUAUCUACUGUUAGGGUUGAGAAAGAAAACCCUCAACCUUGUCCACAACCUGUCACACCUAUCAAGUCAAUCAACUGACCAAACCUAGUCGGAGCAGUAAAUCUGGUGGAGAACGAAGGCCGACAUAAAAAAGUGGGCAAGAGAAUGCCUCCCUUGCCAAACAUUAGAAGUAAUGACGCACACAGAAAUGGGGAUAACAGAGUUCUAGAGAACACAAUAAUGACUGGUCUACAUCUACGUCACCAUUGUGGGACCCCUGCCCCCUCCAAGGGGUAUAGGUACCUCUUCAAGAUAUCAACUGGAAUACCAGAUGGCCAGAAGCAAUACCAGUAAGGUAGCAGAGUUGUGUGAGAGCACCAAUAGGCUGGAGUACAGAAAUAAAUAACUAGCAACAGAGGAGUCAAUUUCACCUCUGCCUUAUGGAGCUCCCUUGCCACCAAUCUCUGGACAAAACUCAUUCACACAACAGCAUACAACCCAGAAGAGAACGGCAUGCUGGAGCAGUGCUGUGAAGCAGCUGCACUGCUCCCUUAAAUCAGCACUCUUCUCCAGAUGUCAAAGCAAGAAUUGAAGAAAGCAAUUAUUGUGGGGAGUACUGUGAGGUCCUGGUCAGUUGCCAGGACUCUAAAGGCUUAAUGAUGAUAUUGGCUUAAAUCAUGCACUAUAUGAUAAAAGCAUGAAACUAGGCACCCCAUCUCCGCCUAGGUACCACCCUUGUUUAAACAAUACAUGGCCAAUCCAGCAUAUGCACAGGAAGAAUAUCCCAUGUGUGUUUGUAUUCACACAAUAAUAAUGUUUCUGUAUUCCCACGAUAAUAAUGUUUUAAGCUAGUAAGUCACUGCUAAUACAUUUACCAAAACUUAAAAUAAUUUUUUUUCUGCCUUAGCCAAAUCCAUUAUAAUGCAUAAAAAAUAAAAUUAUACUGACAUAUCAAAAAACAUGUGACCAAUUCAGUAACAUAAAAUCUUGAUUUCUGCAUCUGCUAAAGCACUUUAAAAAUGCUAACCUUAAUCAUUAAAACCAAUGAUAAAAUGUUUAUUCUGAGUUGCCAAAGAGUACUACACCUGGCAGGCAAUAGCACUAGACAAAAAUGACCAAUUCAGUAACAUAAAAUCUUGAUUUCAGCAUCUGCUAAAGCACUUUAAAAAUGCUAACCUUAAUCAUUAAAACCAAUGAUAAAAUGUUUAUUCUGAGUUGCCAAAGAGUACUACACCUGGCAGGCAAUAGCACUAGACAAAAAUGGAAAGAGAAAGAUUUACAAAAUCUGAAUAUAUGUAUGUUGGUGCUCAAGCACUGGGAGAUAAAGAAUAUUGGUAAAAAAUCUUCUAACAAGGAAGAAUAUUGGUAAAAAUCUUCUAACAAGGAUUAAAAAGUUAGUCAUUUUGUGAAGUAUUUAAUCGAGGCUCUUACCCUGUUGGAUGCAAACCACUUCGUGCCACAAAGGUGAUGCUAACAAUUCUCAGCAAUGUCUUUUUGACAUACAGAUUUUGAAAAGCUUAAUGAAUGGAAGAGUGCAAGGGUGACUGGGAAAUAUCAACGUUAACUAUGUGCAUUACAGAAUGAAGAAAGAGUUAAGAGAGAAUAUUAAAAGCUUUCAAUAUUAUACUACAGAUUUUGAUUAGUAAAAUUAAAUAAGUAAAAAAUGCAGCUCAAUAUAGUUUUCAGUACAGCAUAUAAUGCAGUAAGAAACACUCAACUGUGGCCCAUGAAACUUUAAGCCACAGUCUGGUGAUGGUCUAUAGAGGUGCCAGACACACGAUCAUGGCUAAUUUUAACUUUAGAUAAAAUAAAGCCUACCGAGGCAGUGGACGGACAGACAAAACGGCAUCAAUAGUUUUCUUUUACAGAAAAAUAUUAAAGGAGAAAGGUGAGGGGAUCCUAAACACACUACCUUCAUUCCUAAUUCAUUAUACCAUACCAAAAUGAAAAUUAUAAUAUAGGAAUGAAAUGGAAUAUAAAAUUUAGGACAAAGGCCAAGCACUACAACCUAAGAGGUCAUUCAGUGCUGAAAUGGAAAUUGAGAGUAAAAAUGUUUUAAAGGUGUAUUAAGAGAGGUUGGAGAGUAAGAAGAAAGACAUAAUAUGAAUGGAGGAAUAGUAAAAUGAAUGAAAGUGCUUGCAGCUAAAGGAAGCUGCAAUGAACCUUAAGUAACCCCUACAGUGCACUGUACGAGGUGCACUGAUGGAUCUACCCCACCUACAGGGGAUAUAAUAUAAUUAUGCCAUGAAACUAAUACAAAGCACCUUGGUGACAUGAAUGUUGAAAGAAUGUUUAUGGAUUAAAAUUAUGUUUCAUCAACAUCAGAGCUCUUUAUAUAUUACACCACUAGUAAUAUGCAAAUCACUGAAUGGAAAUGAAGCAUCGCUUUGAACCUUUUCGGUAACAAAUUCCUUCUCAAACAGGCACCACUGCACAACUAACUGAUAUGAAUUUCACUUUAUUUUGAUAUGAACAAUGCUUGCAUCACAUUAAGAAAACACAAUGACCUAAGCUUACCAAUUUC